rnacentral:rRNA from 1 species
UACGAAGGGGGCUAGCGUUGCUCGGAAUCACUGGGCGUAAAGCGCACGUAGGCGGACUCUUAAGUCAGGGGUGAAAUCCUGGAGCUCAACUCCAGAACUGCCCUUGAUACUGGGAGUCUUGAGUUCGGGAGAGGUGAGUGGAACUGCGAGUGUAGAGGUGAAAUUCGUAGAUAUUCGCAAGAACACCAGUGGCGAAGGCGGCUCACUGGCCCGAUACUGACGCUGAGGUGCGAAAGCGUGGGGAGCAAACAGG